rnacentral:rRNA from 1 species
GAUGAACGCUGGCGGCGUGCCUAAUACAUGCAAGUCGAGCGAACAGAUGAGGAGCUUGCUCCUCUGACGUCAGCGGCGGACGGGUGAGUAACACGUGGAUAACCUACCUAUAAGACUGGGAUAACUUCGGGAAACCGGAGCUAAUACCGGAUAAUAUAUUGAACCGCAUGGUUCAAUAGUGAAAGACGGUUUUGCUGUCACUUAUAGAUGGAACCGCGCCGCAUUAGCUAGUUGGUAAGGUAACGGCUUACCAAGGCAACGAUGCGUAGCCGACCUGAGAGGGUGAUCGGCCACACUGGAACUGAGACACGGUCCAGACUCCUACGGGAGGCAGCAGUAGGGAAUCUUCCGCAAUGGGCGAAAGCCUGACGGAGCAACGCCGCGUGAGUGAUGAAGGUCUUCGGAUCGUAAAACUCUGUUAUUAGGGAAGAACAAAUGUGUAAGUAACUAUGCACGUCUUGACGGUACCUAAUCAGAAAGCCACGGCUAACUACGUG